AAACGGUACAUCGUGGCCAUGGACAUUGCUGCUUUCCUCGUUAAAUUUUGACUCAGGCCUUAUUUAUCGGUGAUAUAUUUCGCAAUAUAAUCCCUUUAUGUCAUAUUUCUUAAUUAACCUUUAUCUUUUGGUAACUGCUUAUAUUUAGAGUAGUCGACAAGUAUUGGGCUCCAUUCUAAUGAUUUCAUAAGCUAGUCAACAUGAGCUACAAUAGGCUGUUAAUAAAGAUCUUCUUUCUAGCAGCCGUAUACUGCACAGCUAGCUCGGGCUAUAAGCCUAGAGUUGUGACACGCUUGAUGGCUCGAUGCAUGAAAAACAGACAACACUACAAGUUGCUGACUAAUGGGCAUGUGAAGAAAUGUCUGAGGUAUCACGAAGAAAUGAAAAAAUAUGUAGAGGCCAAAAGGAUUUGUAAAGAAGAAGGAGGUCUCUUGGCUACAUUUAAAGGCAAAAUGGAGGAGCAAAUAAUCUUAAAUGAACUUUACCGUGGGUUUUCAGAAAGUCCUAAAGUAAUUUGGAUUGGCUUAGACAGACUGGAAGACCACAAAACAUAUAAAUGGAUAGACAAUGGAGUAAUUCAUGAGAAUAUAUCCAGGAAUAUGAUAUUUCCGGAUGACCAUGAGUGCACAGGUUAUAAUCCCAAUUCUCAGUUUGUAACUCCAAUGCCGUGCUUCCUAUUAAAUAACUUUUUUUGUGAAUUGCGUUAGGUGUUUGUGAAAAAAAAAAUAUCAACCUGAAAUGUUUUCGUACGUUUUUAUGCUAUAACUUUAAAAUCAAUAAAUAUCUUUACCAGAACUAAUGGUGCUGAUCCUUA